rnacentral:lncRNA from 1 species
AAUAAGAUAUUUUCUUUCAUUCUUCCUUCAAUAAUUUAGCAAAAGUAUAUGAUUUUGAGCUAGUCAUCAAAAAUAUUAUAUAUAUAGAGAGAGGGGGGCAUGUCAUAUAUAUAUAUUUAUAAAGUCAUGUCAAUAUUCAAAGCUGUCUAUAUGAGGUGUCUGUACCACAGUGGUUACUCAGGAUUUUCUCUAUUUUGUUCAAUUGUCCACUUAUCAAGAGCAUGGAUACUAAAAUGUAGAUAGAUAUUUGUAACGUUCUCUCUGGGAUAAGUUGAAAGGUGCUGUGAGAUACUAAACAGUUAAUGGUGGCCUCACUAUUUCACCACUAGCUCAUAAUAAUUUGUGACUUCAUUUGAAAAUUAACCCCUCUUAUGUGUACCAAUAGUCUAGUAUUGUGCUCUUUUCAAAUGAUAUAAAUGCUAAAGUGAUGGGGGGCACCCACAUACCAUGUUUAGAAGGAUAUUUUUUAAAAACUUAACAGAGAACUUUCCACAAUAUUCUGUUAUUGAGAAGUAGCAAGAAAAUAAAACCGAUAAAUGCGCCAUUAGAAACCAUUGAUAUAAAUACAUAGAAAGAAAAUCCCUGUUGUUGUAGUCAGUCCCUGACAAUCAGGUAAAAUGCAGGAAAUGUGAGUUCCUUCAGGUUCCCACCUGACUCUAAUUCUUUCUUCUCUCUUCAACUUGCUGAGAAUCAUAUCUAUGCUAAGGAUCCCUCUAACUUGUUCAUUUAUGAAAAAUGUCCAGUGUACAACACUCACUGUUCAAAGGCCCAGAACUUAAGAAUGCUCUGAUCUCAACUGUAUCUUGUUUUCAUCUAGCCCUUAUGUUCCUUAAUGUCAGAUAGUAGAUCCUCUCUCUAUAUUCCAUUUCUCUGGAGAGUCCAGAAACACUCUCUUGCCCCUACCUACAUAUUUUAAUCAUGUUCAUGUAUAAAUGUACUGUCUUCUACUAUGCUCUCUCUUUCCAAGCCGGGCUUAAUGUACCCUUCUUUGCCUUCAAGGCCAUUUAUCUUUCUCAUGUUCUUAAUCUGGAAUUCCAAGAACAUUAGACUUUUCAUAGUUAUUUCCAGGUGGGUACUAGCCAUAAUAGGUGUUAAAGAUACCUAGAAAAAGGUACUUUUUUUUUUAGAAGCUAGGUGUUUAAGAGAGAGUUAUUCAUGAGUAUCUUAGUUACUUUCCUAUUGCCAUGGCAAAACACUAUGAUCAUGGCAACUUAUAAAAAUAAGCAUUUAAUCUGGUCUCAUGGUUUAGAAGAGUCUAUGUGCAUCACAGAGAGAAGCAUGGCAACAUGCUGGCAUGUCACCUGACCCACCUGUGGGAGCCAGAGAGAAAUGACAUGAAUUUUUGAAACAUCAAAGCUCACCUCUGGCAGCGUACCUCUUCAAGCAGCAACACACCUUCUCAUCCUUCCCAAACAGUUUCACCGACUAGAGACAAAACAUUCCAACAUAUGAGUAUACAGAGACAGCUCUCCUUCAAACCACCACAAAGAAGAUAUUAGAACUUUGACUGAUGUUUAAAUGGUAGAUCUGGAUGGGAAAUUUCUCUUUCACUAAUGAACAGCAUUGGCUAAGAUAUUGGGAGUUUACACUUUUUGAUAGGUAAAAGUUUCAUCCAGAAGCGUCUAGAAUUGUUCCGCCCUGUCUUGUCCCCAGAUAUUUCUUGCCUGUAUGUUUUCAGGAUCUAAGUAUUUGAGAAGCACUAAAUACAUUAAAAGAACAUGGAUUCAUCUUGAUGUAAUACCUGCAGGAAUAGGAGGUGCUCAGGACUUCAAGAAGGAAUUGGGCAUUUGGUGCCUGAACUGGUCCAGCCUCAAGGGUUUGGGCUACUAAUCGAUGCUUCCCUAGAUAAACUCUCUGAACCUGUCAAAAAUCAAGAAUCAUCACAUCUCAAAAUACUUUAUUCAGUGGAAGGAUUAUUUCUCUUUUGAUACGUUGUUCUGUUGAGGUGGAGAAAUGCAAAUAACCCUUUGGAGAACCCCUUGAAAUACAUGGGCUCCUCACUUAGGGCCCAAUUAGUAGGAAAAACUCACUCUUCUAUAAGAUUUCACUGUGCCCUUGAAAUUGCACUUCAAAACUACAUGCACUGACUUCCCCCAGGCACAGAAACAGGCUCCAUGUUUUAAUUCUGACCUUAAUUAAAUCUCUUACACAUAAUGUCUAUGUGAUUCUCCAGUGACACAGGACAGGCAGAGGAAAGGUAAGUGACCGACACUCUAGUUUUAUUUUGUUCUUACAAUAGACCACUAUGGCCAAAUGAAGUUUAGGCAUAGAAGGCUUGUGCUUUGGCUCACAUAUCACGGACUGUUAUUGCGGGAAGUCAAAUCAGGCACUCAAACAGGAUCAGGAAGCAGAAAUCCUGGGAAGCCACUGCUUUCUGGCUCACUUACUCACAGGUUCCUGCUUCUAUAGCUUUCUUAAACAGUUCAGGGCCACAGAGAAGCGGUACCACCCUAUAUCAAUUAACAAUCUAGACAAUUCUCCACAGAUGUGUCCAGUGGACAAUCCCAUCUGGGUAAUCCAUCAAAGGAGACUCACUUCUCAGGUGACUCUUGGCUAUGUGACAUUGACAGUUAAAGCUAAAUAUGACCCCUGCAAAUUUUCUUUCUUUUUUUUUUUUUCAAAUUUCCUCUCUGUCUCUCCAUCUCUAUCUCUGUCUCUCUCUCUUUUAUGAUAGAGUUGGACUUUAAGAGAACAUCCUCAGUUGUGUUACAACAUUACAAGUCUGAAGCAGUUAAAAUCAUGCCCAGAGUCAUGCUUGGUGGUGUCUUCUCUACUGCUCAUCCAGUCUCAUCUAGUUUCUUGUACUUGAUAAAACCAAAGUCAGUGAAAGAUGCUCUGUAUAGGUUUUCCCUAUGGUUGAUCCUAACCCAACUGCUGGAGUGCCAUGCAAAAUGAUAGCACUCUUUGAAAUCCAAGGCGGGGAAGUUAUCCUGGCUGAAGACAAUGUGUUCAGCACAGGUCUGAUAGCAUGGUGGCUGCACUGUUUGUGGCAAGCUGUGGUUUGCACUGUCUUUCACUUUUGGUUUCACCUAGCACGUGGGAGGAAACCUAUAGCCAAGAGAAACAAACACACCUGCAAAAACCUCCUGCUUCUAGAGCAGAAUCGGAAGGUCUCUUGUGUGUCUGUCUGCUUUAGUUUGACUUUUGUGUCCCUCUGAGAAAACACUUCCAACUGAGAUAAGACCCAGUGACCUAGUGUGCAGCCCAGAUUCAGGAAGGAGGUCUCCCCUCCCCCAGCAUGCUCAAAACAGGAAAGAAGUGUUUUAUGUUGUAUCUCAACAGACC